rnacentral:lncRNA from 1 species
AUGCCAGGCUCAACAUUGGCCAAGAGGAACAGAUCUGGGAAAUUACGACACGAGCUGCCUUCCAGAAAGGACUGGUGUCCUGGUGAAAAGCACAAACCCAAGCCCAGCAAGCUAUCCUCACAGCACUGCUUCAUAGCCACUCAGACCCUUAAAAAUGAGAGAAAGAAGAAAAAGAAAGAAAGAAAGAAAGAAAGAAAGAAAGAAAGAAAGAAAGAAGAAAGAAAGAAAGAAGAAAGAAAGAAAGAAAGAAAGAAAGAAAAAAAGAAAGAAAGAAAGAAAGAAACCAUUUGGUCAUAAAGGGACUCAAACCACAGCAUAUACCCACCACAAUCCUAUGGGAAAAUUUCCACAUCUGUGCAUAUUUUCUGGGGGUUGUGGGCUCUCCUGGAGCUCCAACUAAAGCAUGACUGGAGCAGCACCCAGUGAAAGGCUCUGGGCUUUGUGGGCUUGCAUUUAUGGUGCUGGAGGCACGAGGAAAAGGUAACUCAGGAUUUUUUUUUAAUGGUCUAAAGCAGUUUCAUUCAUUCUUACGUGCCUGGUGUUCAAUUGACAUCCUGUGGUCUACUUGGUUCCACAGGUGAGCCCCUACCCAGAUGCUUACAAGCCCAAACUCUAACAGUUCCAAUGGAAAUUGGCUGUGUGGGUACCUUUGAGGUCUACAGGCGGUUUGUUGCUUUUAAAAACCUUGCAACGCAAGCAUCUAAGGCAUGGGAUGCAUUUCAGCUUCUAACUAUAUUUCCGGGAUGUGCUUAUGGAAGGGCAAAACACUUGGCAAAAACUACUUUCAAGCCCCAAAUGUUGGUAUGUCUGUUAAUCGAGAAGUAAAAUCAGGUUGUAAAUAAUAGGUUCCUCUGUCAUUCGCCCUCAGACUAUAUUUAGUCUACAAUUAAUAAGAUGCUAUGAAUAUUUUAAGCAGAAAUAUUUAAAAUAUGAUCACUCUCCAUGCUUUGUUAGAUCAUAUACAAUGAGGACAGAGUUUUCCUGUAACAGAGAACACACACACUAGGUGUGGUUGGGUGCACAGACACACAUUUUUCUAAUUUAGCAAUGGGAUAAAAUAUUUACAUCAAGAAUAACUGUUUAUUUAUUUUUGAGAGAGAGAGAGAGAGAGAGCGAGCAGGGGAGGGGCAGAGAGAGAGGGAGACACAGAAACUGAAGCAGGCUCCAGGCUCUGACUUGUCAGCACAGAGCCCGAGGCGGGGCUCGAACUCACCAACUGUGAGAUCACGACCUGAGCCGAAAUCAGACGCUUACCUGACUGAACCACCCAGGUGCCCCAUUAAAUUUAUGUUUCAAAACUCUGCUUUGAGACAGUAAGGUUUCCAGGCUUGAGGUGGUGCAGGAUGACCAUAUUUCCAUUCCUCUCUUUGAUCUAAUGGCCUGAAUUUGUUUCAAUCUACCAAAACCAAAAUAAAAUUGCCUCCUUUACAAUUCUCGAUUUCUCU